UAACAGCGGAAGAAGGACCGCAAAAAAAAGCGAUAUGUAAAGUGGUCUGUGCCCGAAGUGCAGAGACUGCGGGCGAUACUGAAAGCCCGCGGUGGGCGGGUACCCAGUAUGGAUGACCUCAGAGACCUGUACAAGAGGGAGCCGUUCAACGGCCAUAAUCUGAAUGACAUAAGAUGCAAGAUGUACAAACUUAAACAGAAGGCAGAGUGAGCUGCUGGAGCGGCCGGGCCGGGCUGUUCUGGGUUGGGUCCGGACGGGACUUGGGGACCGGCGCCGCCCGCGGCGUCAAAUACAUGUGUCUGCCCGCGCCCCAAUGCCGCCCGCGGCGACAAUACAUGUGUCUGCCCGCGCCCCGAUGCCGCCCGCGGCGACAAUACAUGUGCCUGCCCGCGCCCCGAUGCCGCCCGCGACGUCAGCAGUGCUCUCUGUGGCAGCCAGUGAACAGCCGCCACAUGGCCUAUGUCAGGAUCGCUCGAGGCGCUGCAGUAGGUCCUGCUGGCCGUGUCCGGUGUUUGGUUGUCAAGCUCUGAAGCACCGUUUUUGUUGAGUUUGGUUAUCAAGCUCAGAAGUCAGAGGCACCGUUUUUGCUGCGUGAUACCGAUGGCACGGACGCAUGUACCAUGUUCGGUUGUGUCUCGUGUGCCUGGUGUAAGUCUAGUGAUUGUGUUGAUCCGAUCGAGUCUGUGCUAGGGUCCAGUGGCAGCGCCCGAUGCCGUCGGUCCAUGUGUGGUCGGCAAAGGGUGGCCAGCGGCCUAGCGUACGUCGGAGUCGUGAGCGUCAAGAUGGCGUGUGAAGUGUGUAUGGGUUGUUGUGUAUCUCGAUAACGUGUUUCCUCAUAAUGGUUUCGAUGCUGUAAGUUCUCGUAAGUCCGUUGUCAUCAGUUGUUCUCUGGUGUCCGUCCUUCCCUGUUCGGCACUGGCAGCGGUGCCCGGUGAUAGGGCUGAAUCGGGCCGGGGGCUGGGCUGUGCUGGGUUGGGUCCGGAUGGGACUCGCGGCCCGGAGCCGCCCGCGGCGUCAGUAAGUACAUACAUUGAGUUUUACAUUGAGACAGAAGCACCGUUUUUGUUGAGUGACACCGAUGGCACGGACUUGAGUACCAUGAUCCGUUGUGUGUUGUGUGCCUGGUGUAAGAUUGUGUUGAUCCGAUCGAGUCUGUGCUAGGGUCCAGUGGCAGCGCCCGAUGCCGUCGGUCCAUGUGUGGUCGGCAAAGGGUGGCCAGUCCGGCAGCUGCAUUUUUGUGUCCUUAUUGAAAUACACUGUCAGUCGUCAGAAAA